rnacentral:rRNA from 1 species
UAAUAAAAUUUUAAUAAUUGCUCCCGAAAAUAAAAGAUCUAAAAAUAUAAUAAGUUAUAGAUAUCUGAUAAAUAUUGUUGCAUUAAUAUACCAAAAUAUAUUUUUAGGGGUGAAAUACCUUCACUUUUAUUAAUAUCUGGAUAGAUAUUAAAUAAAUUUAGUUUAAAACAUAAUUACAAUGUGAUAAGAUAUUGUAAGUGGAAAUUUUGAUAAUUUAAAAUAUAUGUUGUUACUAAUUAAUUCUUAUUAACAAAUAUUUUGCAGUAAUUAUCUAAUGUACUAUAUUCCCUAUUAAUAUUUUAUCUUAGUAAUUCACUUACUACUAUAUAUAAUGUAUAAAUUAGUAUUUAUAAUAAAUUUAAUUGAAGGAACUCGGCAAAAAGCUUAUACGACUGUUUAUCAAAAACAUAGCCAGUAGAUUAUUAAUUAUUGGUGUGACCUGCCCAGUGAAUUUUUAACGGCCGCAGUACCCUGACUGUGCAAAGGUAGCAUAAUCACUUGGCUUUUAAUUGAAGUCUAGCAUGAAAGGAAAAACGUAUAGGAGCUGUCUCAUUAAUAAAUUUACUUAAGUUAAUUUAUAAGGUGAAAAUGCCUUAAUAAUAAAAAUAGACGAGAAGACCCUUAGAAUUUUAAUAAAGCCGGAAACUAUAAGUGGCGUAAUUUUUGUUGGGGCAACAUUUUUUCAUAGAAUAAAAAAUAUCUAUUAAAUAUAUAACGAAUGAGUAUAAUAAAAUAAAAAUUACCUAAGGGAUAACAGCAUAAUUUUAAGUAAAGAUUGUGACCUCGAUGUUGGACUAGGAGCUAUUAAGGCUAAUCGUUUUAAUAUAAUAGGU